rnacentral:rRNA from 1 species
ACGCUCGACACCUACGGGGCAGCAGUGGGGAAUAUUGCACAAUGGGGGAAACCCUGAUGCAGCGACGCCGCGUGAGUGAAGAAGUAUUUCGGUAUGUAAAGCUCUAUCAGCAGGGAAGAAGAUGACGGUACCUGAGUAAGAAGCCCCGGCUAACUACGUGCUAGCAGCCGCGGUAAUCUGAGCGGGCUGGCAAGGC